CCGGCUUCGGCUUCGUCGCAGUUGUUGUCGACGGCAUCCGAAUUGGUCUCCGCCGCGAUGUCGAUGAGGUGGUGGUGUUCAUCGCUCGUUUUGCUCAUCAGCUGAUCCCCUUCUUCCAUUGCGGCGAUUUCUCGAACAGAUUCAAACAUGUCGGCCUUCCGUGGAUGUCUUCACUGGUGCCUGGCGGCGGAAGACCGGCACCGAAUUUAUGUAGCAUCGUAGUUGCGCUCAUCAGGUGUUUGUUGAAAUGCCUUCUGCUACCUACGUGCCAUGGCAGCACGCAUCUCAACAGCUUAUUUGCCGCGCAAGAGUAGUGGCAAGUAAAUGCCCAUAAGGCCACAACGUGUUUGAGGAAAUGCCUCAAUUCAGGGCGCCGUGAGCAAUGCUCCAGGCUACAGAGGAUGAGCUGGGCAUUGGUGUCCUCCCUACGGAAAAGCUCGUGCUGGAUAUCCUCAUUUCCGGACUGAGCAUUAGUGGUA